UAAAUUCAAUUGAUUGGACAUGAUUUGGAAUGGAACACGCCUGUCUCUAUAAGGUCCCACAGUUGACAGUGCGUGUCAGAGCAAAAACCAAAAGAGUAGCACCCUACAGACAAAAAAAAACUCUUAAACGAUGCCGAAAGAUAAUGAUUUUCCCGACACUGGUCAUAGACCCAUACAAGAUUACUUUGAAUGUAGCCAAAGGGAGAGUGAUAAGAUCAUUGUUUCGGAGACGCUGUUUGACAUGCCGGGAGAAAUAAAGGAACUUAAAAUCAAGAAAUUCAAUCAAGACAAAAAAAGACAAGGCCGAGCAUAAAGUCUACUUCUGGAGAAACCCUGACAAGGGAGGUCCUGUUCCCCCUCUCCAUGGCAGACGCAGGAGGGAUGCCGCUUACUUCGAACCACCCCAGUCUGAUCAACGCUCUACCAUCAGCGCCUCAUCGGCUUCCAGUCUGAUCAACGCUCUACCAUCAGCGCCUCAUCGGCUUCCAGUUUUUUAUUCAACGAGAGACUGGAAGGGCGGAGGUGGCCGCAGGCACGCGCAUCGACGAGAUGCCUCAACGGAAGGGGUAGAUUGAAACGACUAUCAGAGGUAGAGGAGACCGUUCACAUGGUCCCAGAACCCACGGGACUGAGUGUCUUUAAUUUAUCAAGCAAGAUAUUGAGCCCUGCCCAUGUCUCUUUGCUUAAUAAAGGGUUAUCUUUUGUGCCUACAA